rnacentral:rRNA from 1 species
AACGUAGGACGCAAGCGUUAUCCGGAGUUACUGGGCGUAAAGGGCGGGCAGGCGGUUCGUCAAGUGGGGUGUGAAAGCUCUCAGCUUAACUGGGAGAGGCCAUUCCAAACUGACGGACUGGAGGGCAGCAGAGGUAGGCGGAAUUCCGGGUGGAGUGGUGAAAUGCGUAGAUAUCUGGAGGAACACCGGUGGCGAAGGCGGCAUCCUGGACCAACACUGACACUGAGGAGCGAAAGCCAGGGGAGCAAACGGG